CCGUGCUAGACGGGGAGCUAGCGGUGCCCUUUCUCCCGCAAUCCGCUGUAGCGGGGUCGAAUGCUCAAUUGAGGUCGCGCUCUUCACGUUUGGGAGAUUGAAAGGGGUGAUGAAGGUUGGGUCCUGCAGAGUUCGGAGUCUGCCCAAUCCGUCAGGACCGGGAGGUAGCAGCGGUAAGUGGACUUCGUCGGCUGUGGGGUAACCUGGCUGGAGCUUCCGAUCAGUCUUUUCAGCCUGGGGGGUAGAUCGAGGUUGAGAUGCACGG
rnacentral:SRP_RNA from 1 species